rnacentral:rRNA from 1 species
GACGAACGCUGGCGGCGUGCUUAACACAUGCAAGUCGAACGGAAAGGCCUUUUCGGAGGUACUCGAGUGGCGAACGGGUGAGUAACACGUGGGUGAUCUGCCCUGCACUCUGGGAUAAGCCUGGGAAACUGGGCCUAAUACCGGAUAGGACCGCACUUUAGUGUGUGUGGUGGAAAGUUUUUUCGGUGUAGGAUGAGCCCGCGGCCUAUCAGCUUGUUGGUGGGGUAAUGGCCUACCAAGGCGGCGACGGGUAGCCGGACUGAGAGGUUGGUCGGCCACAUUGGGACUGAGAUACGGCCCAGACUCCUACGGGAGGCAGCAGUGGGGAAUAUUGCACAAUGGGCGCCAGCCUGAUGCAGCGACGCCGCGUGGGGGAUGACGGCCUUCGUGUUGUAAACUCCUUUCGCCAGGGACGAAGCGUUUUGUGACGGUACCUGGAGAAGAAGCACCGGCUAACUACGUG